rnacentral:lncRNA from 1 species
UAGUGUGCCUUGCAAAGUCUGUUCAUCUUCUACAAGAAGGCUUUAGAAACUAAAGGCAUGAAAGGUCGAAGACAAGACUUAAAUGUGGUUUGAAAGAGAAUCACACACUAAGCCCCACAAAGCCCUGGAUGAGGACUUGCCUUCCACAUUGUAGGCACUGACUCAUCACUAAGUCGGAUCCCGUUGUGGGACUCUUGUCAAGAGGGCCUGCACAAAGCCUUGACCCACAGCGAGCUCUUAUGAAGGGGAUAACAUUUGCCAAAGGCAAGCCCCGAAGCUGGGAAGAUGGUCACGGAGUUUGUCCCAUUGGAGAGGAGGAUGGGAGAUUUCAGACCACAGUUCAGAAUUCGGAGAGAGGGAACCCAGAAGCUCCUGAAUCAUGACUCACCUUCACAAGGUUUGAACUCACGAGCUGACAGAAAACACCCUGUUACCACAAACCGAUGAGGACAAUUUAGACAGUAUUGGAAACUUACUUGAAGAGAAGUUAGAUUUUCAUGAAGUUCUGAAUGAGUGUAAAUGUUUUAGGCUAUUGCAAAAAUGACGUUUUUCAUAAGCACCCUAGUAUGGAUUCUAGCCUUCUGAUUGCUGUAGCAUCCCGUACUAUAACUUAAAGGUAGCCAACUAGAGGAAAUGAAGUAACUGGCCAGUUCUGCUUGGAGAACGUUCUAAAGGUACAUGCCACCAGUCCCUGCUGUGCUUCCCAACACCGCUCAGACUGGUGACCUUUGCCUGUCAUCUGAAUGGUGGGCUCGAGGUGGCAAGCUUAUCUGAAAAAGUGUUUGGAGAUGCUAACAGAAAGGACCCCAAAAGGACAAAGCCAACCCACAUCACCGUAGAUGAAUCGUGUGCCUUACAGUGGUGAGCCGUAGAAAAUGAAGCCUACGAUCUGAACUCCAGAAGUAAAUCCGAGUCACAGAGUGACGAGCCGAGAUUGGCAGGAAAGAAUUUACUCCAAGCUGCAGGAGNUAUUGAAUUAUGAGGAUUAAACUACCUCAUACCCCCCGGAGGAAGUCGUUUGUGUAGGUUAGCUGUUUCACAGGACCUUGCCUGCCUCUAGAGCAGCCUUGUUCUUUGUGUCUUUUUUUUUUUUUUUUUUUUUUUUUUUGGCUUCAGAGUCCCACAAAAGGUGCUCCCUUCCCCUCCCUUUUAUACAAGUUUCUUGUUCAUAUUGUGAAUAGAGACAUUUCUCAACAAGUUUUCUGGAACAUUUUUCUACUUGUAUUCCAAAGCAUGUAAUAUAUACAUAAAAAAUGAUUUGAUAACUGCUACUCUGUCAUUUGUAUCAUUAGAAAUGAAGUUUGGGGAAAAUUUUUUUGGAAAAAAAGAAGACACAAGUUAAAAAAAAUAACUUAUUCCUUUUUGCAUAUUUGUAUAGCCUCCCGAAAUUGGAAAUCGCCUUUUGCAUAUUCUUUCACUGUUUUGACUUUUUGAGACCUAUUAAUUUUUUUUUAUGUAGGGCAAUAAACUUAUGGUGUGCUAUUGACACAUGUCCGAGUUCUUGUCUUUAUGUUUGGGAUCCACAAGAGGCCGUGUGGAUCCAUCUCAAGGGCGUUGGGCACACAAAUACAUUUAAUAUUACAAGGUUUUGUUGAUUUCAAGAUACACACUUUUCAUCAUUCAAUCAGAAAAUAAGGUUCAUAUAUUCAUCAUGUCUUAUUGGAAUUGUCCAUGGUUUGGGUUGCUGUGAAUUUGGCUGAUGUUUUGUUUGUUUGUUUGUUUGUUUUGUUUGUUUUCUUAUUCAUACAUAAAAUAUUGUUUUGUUCUGUUGUUUCAGUGUUGGACCUGAACCUAGGUUCUUGUACACAAGAUUCUCUACCACUGCAAUAUAUA